AAUAUUUACUUAGUAUAAUAGUACAUUUGACUUCCAAUCAAAAAGUUUGAUAAUAUCAAAGUAAAUA
rnacentral:tRNA from 1 species